rnacentral:rRNA from 1 species
CCUACGGGAGGCAGCAGUCGAGAAUCAUUCACAAUGGGGGAAACCCUGAUGGUGCGACGCCGCGUGGGGGAAUGAAGGUCUUCGGAUUGUAAACCCCUGUCAUGUGGGAGCAAAUUAAAAAGAUAGUACCACAAGAGGAAGAGACGGCUAACUCUGUGCCAGCAGCCGCGGUAAUACAGAGGUCUCAAGCGUUGUUCGGAAUCACUGGGCGUAAAGCGUGCGUAGGCUGUUUCAUAAGUCGUGUGUGAAAGGCGCGGGCUCAACCCGCGGACGGCACAUGAUACUGGGAGACUAGAGUAAUGGAGGGGGAACCGGAAUUCUCGGUGUAGCAGUGAAAUGCGUAGAUAUCGAGAAGAACACUCGUGGCGAAGGCGGGUUACUGGACAUUAACUGACGCUGAGGCACGAAGGCCAGGGGAGCGAAAGGGAUUAGAUACCCGUGUAGUC